rnacentral:rRNA from 1 species
UGAGCAAUCUGCCCUUCUCAUCGGAAUAAGCGUUGGAAACGACGUCUAAUGCCGAAUACGACCUCCUUUCGCAUGAUCGGAGGUGGAAAGUUCCGGCGGUCAUGGAUGGGCUCGCGGCCUAUCAGCUGGUUGGUGAGGUAAUGGCUCACCAAGGCUUCGACGGGUAGCCGGCCUGAGAGGGUGACCGGCCACACUGGGACUGAGACACGGCCCAGACUCAUANAGGA